rnacentral:rRNA from 1 species
CCAGACUCCUACGGGAGGCAGCAGUGGGGAAUAUUGCACAAUGGGCGCAAGCCUGAUGCAGCCAUGCCGCGUGUGUGAAGAAGGCCUUCGGGUUGUAAAGCACUUUCAGCGGGGAGGAAGGCAAUAAGGUUAAUAACCUUGUUGAUUGACGUUACCCGCAGAGGAAGCACCGGCUAACUCCGUGCCAGCAGCCGCGGUAAUACGGAGGGUGCAAGCGUUAAUCGGAAUUACUGGGCGUAAAGCGCGCGCAGGCGGUCUGUCAAGUCGGAUGUGAAAUCCCCGGGCUCAACCGGGGAACUGCAUUCGAAACUGGCAGGCUAGAGUCGUGUAGAGGGGGGUAGAAUUCCAGGUGUAGCGGUGAAAUGCGUAGAGAUCUGGAGGAAUACCGGUGGCGAAGGCGGCCCCCUGGACAAAGACUGACGCUCAGGUGCGAAAGCGUGGGGAGCAAACAGGAUUAGAUGCCCGAGUA